rnacentral:misc_RNA from 1 species
GUGAAUCAUCGAAUUUUUGAACGCAAAUUGCACUCUCUUCGGAGAGUAUGCCUGUUUGAGGGUCAGCCUAAAAAAAAAUCGACAUCGUUGCUGUUUCGCGGUGGCGUUCGUCGGAAAUUGGGUUAUCUUAAAUCUUUGGUUUAAGCGACUUAAAAUUUUCUUUACGAUUCCAUGAACGUGUCUAAGAAUUUCUUGUACGUUCGCGACAUCGAAAUCAUAUUAGGGGCGACCGCCGCGUCGGGUUCGCUCCCAUAAUGUAUCAUCUAAGGACCUCAGACAGGUAAGAGUACCCGCUGAACUU